UCCGGUUUGGCACCGGCAGUCUCCCUAGAGUGCCCGGCAUGAUCCGCUGGCAACAAGGAACAAGGGUUGCGCUCGCUGCGGGACUUAACCCAACACCUCACGACACGAGCUGACGACAGCCAUGCAGCACCUCUACACAGACCUCCGAAGAGGGGGACUCAUCUCUGAGCCUUUCCUGUGCAGUUCAAACCCAGGUAAGGUUCUGCGCGUUGCUUCGAAUUAAACCACAUGCUCCGCCGCUUGUGCGGGCCCCCGUCAAUUCCUUUGAGUUUUAGCCUUGCGGCCGUACUCCCCAGGCGGGGCGCUUAAUGCGUUAGCUACGGCACGGAUCCCGUGGAAGGAAACCCACACCUAGCGCCCACCGUUUACGGCGUGGACUAC
rnacentral:misc_RNA from 1 species